rnacentral:lncRNA from 1 species
CGCCAAAAACGUUAAACCUUACCAUAGCCCCAAAACUUAUACCCGGGUAUUACCUUCAGGAAGCCCAAACACCCCAAAUAUUUUUUUUUUUCAUUUUUCUUUUUUUUUGGUCUAACUAACUCCAAAAGGUUGGAAAAGAGUUCCUACAAAUGUUUUGGACAGUGAUUUAAACCCUAACGCCAAAACCUUUAACCUUACCCUAGCCCCAAAUCUUAAUACCCGGGUAUUACCUUCAGGAAGCCCAAACACCCCAAAUAUAUUUUUUUUCAUUUUUCAUUUUUAUUUGGUGUAACUAACUCCAAAAGGUUGGAAAAGAGUUCCUACAAAGGUUUUGGACAGUGAUUUUAACCCUAACGCCAAAAACCUUAAACCUUACCAUAGCCCCAAAACUUAUACCCGGGUAUUACCUUCAGGAAGCCCGAACACCCCAAAUAUUCUUUUUUCCUUUUUUUCUUUUUUUUUGGUCUAACUAACUCCAAAAGCUUGGAAAAGAGAUCCUACAAAGGUUUUGGACAGUCAUUUUAACCCUAACGCCAAAAACCUUAAACCUUCCCCUAGCCCCAAAACCUAAUACCCGGGUAUUACCUUCAGGAAGCCCGAACACCCCAAAUAUUUUUUUUUCAUUUUUCUUUUUUUUUGGUCCAACUAACUCCAAAAGCUUGGAAAAGAGAUCCUACAAAGGUUUUGGACAGGGAUUUAAACCCUAACGCCAAAACCUUAAACCUUACCCUAGCCCCAACUCUUAAUACCCGGGUAUUACCUUCAGGAAGCCCAAACACCCCAAAUAUAUUUUUUUUCAUUUUUCAUUUUUAUUUGGUCUAACUAACUCCAAAAGGUUGGAAAAGAGUUCCUACAAAGGUUUUGGACAGUGAUUUAAACCCUAACGCCAAAAACGUUAAACCUUACCAUUGCCCCAAAACUUAUACCCGGGUAUUACCUUCAGGAAGCCCAAACACCCCAAAUAUUUUUUUUUUCAUUUUUCUUUUUUUUUGGUCUAACUAACUCCAAAAGGUUGGAAAAGAGUUACUACAAAGGUUUUGGACAGUGAUUUAAACCCUAACGCCAAAACCUUUAACCUUACCCUAGCCCCAACUCUUAAUACCCGGGUAUUACCUUCAGGAAGCCCAAACACCCCAAAUAUAUUUUUUUUCAUUUUUCAUUUUUAUUUGGUGUAACUAACUCCAAAAGGUUGGAAAAGAGUUCCUACAAAGGUUUUGGACAGUGAUUUUAACCCUAACGCCAAAAACCUUAAACCUUACCAUAGCCCCAAAACUUAUACCCGGGUAUUACCUUCAGGAAGCCCGAACACCCCAAAUAUUUUUUUUUCAUUUUUCUUUUUUUUUGGUCUAAAUAACUCCAAAAGCUUGGAAAAGAGAUCCUACAAAGGUUUUGGACAGUCAUUUUAACCCUAACGCCAAAAACCUUAAACCUUACCCUAGCCCCAACUCUUAAUACCCGGGUAUUACCUCCAGGAAGCCCAAACACCCCAAAUAUUUUUUUUUCAUUUUUCUUUUUUUUUGGUCUAACUAACUCCAAAAGCUUGGAAAAGAGAUCCUACAAAGGUUUUGGACAGUGAUUUUAACCCUAACGCCAAAAACCUUAAACCUUACCAUAGCCCCAUAACCUAAUACCCGUGCAUUAUCUUCAGGAAGCCAAAACAAGCCAAAUAUUGUUUUUUUCAUUUUUAUUUGGUCUAACUAACUCCAAAAGGUUGGAAAAGAGUUCCUACAAACGUUUUGGACAGUGAUUUAAACCCUAACGCCAAAACCUUUAACCUUACCCUAGCCCCAAAUCUUAAUACCCCGGUAUUACCUUCAGGAAGCCCAAACACCCCAAAUAUUUUUUUUUUCAUUUUUCAUUUUUAUUUGGUCUAACUAACUCCCAAAGGUUGGAAAACAGUUCCUACAAAGGUUUUGGACAGUGAUUUUAACCCUAACGCCAAAAACCUUAAACCUUUUCCUAGCCCCAAAACUUAAUACCCGUGUAUUAUCUUCAGGAAGCCCGAACACCACAAAUAUUUUUUUUUCAUUUUUCAUUUCUUUUUGGUCUAACUAACUCCAAAAGGUUGGAAACGAGUUCCUACAAACGUUUUGGACAGUGAUUUAAACCCUAACGCCAAAACCUUAAACCUUACCCUAGCCCCAAAUCUUAAUACCCGGGUAUUACCUUCAGGAAGCCCAAACACCCCAAAUAUUUUUUUUUCAUUUUUCAUUUUUAUUUGGUCUAACUAACUCUAAAAGGUUGGAAAACAGUUCCUACAAAGGUUUUGGACAGUGAUUUAAACCCUAACGCCAAAACCUUAAACCUUACCCUAGCCCCAACUCUUAAUACCCGGGUAUUACCUUCAGGAAGCCCAAACACCCCAAAUAUAUUUUUUUUCAUUUUUCAUUUUUAUUUGGUCUAACUAACUCCAAAAGGUUGAAAAACAGUUCCUACAAAGGUUUUGGACAGUGAUUUAAACCCUAACGCCAAAACCUUAAACCUUACCCUAGCCCCAACUCUUAAUACCCGGGUAUUAUCUUCAGGAAGCCAAAACACCCCAAAUAUUUUUUUUUUAUUUUUUAUUUUUAUUUGGUGUAACCAACUCCAAAAGGUCUGAAACAUGUUCCUAAAUAGGUUUUGGACAGUGAUUUUAACCCUAACGCCAAAAACCUUAAACCUUACCCUAGCCCCAAAACCUAAUAGUAUUACCUUCAGGAAGCCCGAAAACCCCAAAUAUUUCUUUUUCAUUUUUCAUUUUUUUUGGUCUAACUAACUCCAAAAGGUUGGAAAAGAGUUCCUACAAAGGUUUUGGACAGUGAUUUUAACCCUAACGCCAAAAACCUUAAACCUUUCCCUAGCCACAAAACCUAAUACCCAUGUAUUAUCUUCAGGAAGCCCGAACACCACAAAUAUUUUUUUUUCAUUUUUCAUUUCUUUUUGGUCAAACUAACUCCAAAAGCUUGGAAAAGAGUUCCUACAAAGGUUUUGGACAGUGAUUUUAACCCUAACGCCAAAAACCUUAAACCUUACCAUAGCCCCAAAACUUAUACCCGGGUAUUACCUUCAGGAAGCCCGAACACCCCAAAUAUAUUUUUUUUAUUUUUUAUUUUUAUUUGGUGUAACCAACUCCAAAAGGUCUGAAACAUGUUCCUAAAUAGGUUUUGGACAGUCAUUUUAACCCUAACGCCAAAAACCUUAAACCUUCCCCUAGCCCCAAAACCUAAUACCCGGGUAUUACCUUCAGGAAUCCCUAAAAACCCCAAAUAUUUUUUUUUCAUUUUUCAUUUCUUUUUGGUCUAACUAACUCCCAAAGCUUGGAAAAUAGUUCCUACAAAGGUUUUGGACAGUGAUUUUAACCCUAACGCCAAAAACCUUAAACCUUACCCUAGCCCCAAAACCUAAUACCCGUGCAUUAUCUUCAGGAAGCCAAAACAAGCCAAAUAUUUUUUUUUCAUUUUUCAUUUUUAUUUGGUCUAACUAACUCCAAAUGGUUGGAAAAGAGUUCCUACAAAGGUUUUGGACAGUGAUUUUAACCCUAACGCCAAAAACCUUAAACCUUAGCCCCAAAACCUAAUACCCGUGUAUUAUCCUUCAGGAAGCCCGAACACCACAAAUAUUUUUUUUUCAUUUUUCAUUUCUUUUUGGUCUAACUAACUCCAACAGGUUGGAAAACAGUUCCUACAAACGUUUUGGACAGUGAUUUAAACCCUAACGCCAAAACCUUAAACCUUACCCUAGCCCCAACUCUUAAUACCCGGGUAUUACCUUCAGGAAGCCCAAACACCCCAAAUAUUUUUUUUUCAUUUUUCAUUUUUAUUUGGUCUAACUAACUCCAAAAGGUUGGAAAACAGUUCCUACAAAGGUUUUGGACAGUGAUUUAAACCCUAACGCCAAAACCUUAAACCUUACCCUAGCCCCAACUCUUAAUACCCGGGUAUUACCUUCAGGAAGCCCAAACACCCCAAAUAUAUUUUUUUUCAUUUUUCAUUUUUAUUUGGUCUAACUAACUCCAAAAGCUUGGAAAACAGUUCCUACAAAGGUUUUGGACAGUGAUUUAAACCCUAACGCCAAAACCUUAAACCUUACCCUAGCCCCAACUCUUAAUACCCGGGUAUUACCUUCAGGAAGCCCAAACACCCCAAAUAUUUUUUUAUUUUUUUUUAUUUUUAUUUGGUGUAACCAACUCCAAAAGGUCUGAAACAUGUUCCUAAAUAGGUUUUGGACAGUCAUUUUAACCCUAACGCCCAAAACCUUAAACCUUACCCUAGCCCCAAAACCUAAUAUUAUUAAAGUAUUACCUUCAGGAAGCCCGAAAACCCCAAAUAUUUUUUUUUUUCAUCUUUCUUUUUUUUUAGUCUAACUAACUCCAAAAGGUUGGAAAAGAGUUACUACAAAGGUUUUGGACAGUGAUUUAAACCCUAACGCCAAAACCUUAAACCUUACCCUAGCC